ACAAACUUGGUCAUUUAGAGGAAGUAAAAGUCGUAACAAGGUCUCCGUUGGUGAACCAGCGGAGGGAUCAUUAUAGAGUCUCUGAACUCCCAAACCUUUGUGAACAUACCACUGUUGCUUCGGCGGCGUUCCGGGUGUCAGGUAUCUGGCAUCCGGGAUCUCCGCGCCGCCGAGGGUACCAAACUCUUGCUUUUACAGCGGACUUCUGAGCACAAAACAAAAUGAAUCAAAACUUUCAGCAACGGAUCUCUUGGCUCUGGCAUCGAUGAAGAACGCAGC
rnacentral:misc_RNA from 1 species